rnacentral:rRNA from 1 species
AUGGAGGCGGCACUGGAUAGCGGUGCAAAGGCAAAGCACAUCAUCCUCGUCCACGGCGUGUGCCACGGAGGCUGGAGCUGGUACAAGGUGGCGGCGGGGCUACGGUCUGCGGCUGGGCACGGCUGCCGCGUCCACGCGCCGGACCUAGCCGCGUCGGGCACCGAUGACCGCCGGCUGCCGGAGGUGGCAACGUUCAGCGAGUACACGGGGCCGCUGCUCGAUGUACUCCGGUCGCUCCCGGCUGGGGAGAAGGCGGUGCUCGUUGGCCACAGCCUCGGAGGCCUUAGCGUCGCCCUCGCCUCCGAGAUGUUCCCGGACAAGGUCGCAGUCGCCGCGUUCCUCUCCGCUUACAUGCCGGACUGCGCGUCCCCGCCGUCGCAUGUCCUCAUACAGCAUGGUGAGGGCAACUGGGUAGCUCCGUUGGACAACGAGAUGAAACCCCAAGAUGCAGAUGGAAGACUCCCGGCUUCCUUCAUGUUCGGGCCGCAAUUUAUAGAACAAAAGCUCUAUCAGCUGUGCUCAUCGGAGGACGUCGCCCUAGCGAAAUCUCUCAUACGAGUCGGCUCAUUGUUCCUGGAAGACCUGCAAGCCCGGCAGCCAUUCACCGAGGAACGCUACGGCUCGGUCCGCAAGGUCUACGUAGUAUGCAAGCAAGAUGUGACCAUACCAGAGGCGUACCAAAGGUUGAUGGUGGCCAACAACCCGGUGGACGAGGUCAGAGAGAUCGACGGUGCAGAUCAUAUGGCGAUGCUCUCGGCGCCUGAACAGGUUGUCAAGUGCAUCCUCGACAUCGCUGAGAAAUAUAAGUAA